GAUGAACGCUGGCGGCGUGCUUAACACAUGCAAGUCGAACGAUGAAGCCCAGCUUGCUGGGUGGAUUAGUGGCGAACGGGUGAGUAACACGUGAGUAACCUGCCCUUAACUCUGGGAUAAGCCUGGGAAACUGGGUCUAAUACCGGAUAGGAGCGCCUACCGCAUGGUGGGUGUUGGAAAGAUUUAUCGGUUUUGGAUGGACUCGCGGCCUAUCAGCUUGUUGGUGAGGUAAUGGCUCACCAAGGCGACGACGGGUAGCCGGCCUGAGAGGGUGACCGGCCACACUGGGACUGAGACACGGCCCAGACUCCUACGGGAGGCAGCAGUGGGGAAUAUUGCACAACGGGCGAAAGCCUGAUGCAGCGACGCCGCGUGAGGGAUGACGGCCUUCGGGUUGUAAACCUCUUUCAGUAGGGAAGAAGCGAAAGUGACGGUACCUGCAGAAGAAGCACCGGCUAACUACGUG
rnacentral:rRNA from 1 species